rnacentral:tRNA from 1 species
ACCGCGAUAGCUCAGCUGGUAGAGCAUCUGCCCGGUAUGCGGGUAUGCGGUUCGAUUCCGGCUCGCGGCG